CUACUAAAGUUUGAGAAACAGUGUGUAGAUAAUAGGAAUUUGGGUUCUAUAGUCAGGCUUCCUUUUUGAGCAGGCAGCUUAAGCUCACUGCACCUGGUUUUCACAUCUGUAGAGUGGGAAUAACGAUAAUACUUAGAUUAUAAAGUUAGAGUAAUCCAUGUUGGCUAUUCUGUGCUGCUGGAGCUGGAUCAGGGAGUUGACCCUGAGAUUAUAGUGGGAGAAGCUGAGGUUCAAAUGCCAGGAGAGCAUGGGUAGGUGCUAAAUCUGGAGGUGUCGAAGAUAGGGAUAGAAGCAAGGUUUAUGAUAAGUGAGACAAGAGUGAGAGAAAGCAGUUUGGGAUCAGCUGGGGAAAGGGAGUGCCCUGAGAACUUGCCCUAGUGGGCCAGUGGGAGUUUGAGUUAUGAGAAGGAGUUAAUUUUAUGUCAUGAGCUGACUCAACACCUUCACCACUGCAUCCUAGAUGAAGACAGGUGGGGCUAACAGGAUGAAAUUCCAAGGGACCAAAGUCUGGAUAACUUCUUCCCCUGAGGCAGUAGAAGAAUCUGCUGAUGGAGAGACGGCAGAAUUGGAACCACAGGAGAGGACUUUGGACAGGAAAGCAUGCAACCAGGCACAUAUAUUUUGUAUUAGCCCUGGGGCCUGCACAGAGACUAUGGUGGUCGGGGUGUGAUAAACACCAAGGGACUUAACAAUUAGAAGCUCACUGAGAAUCAGAUUCUCCACACUGCAAAAAGUCUACAAGAAACUGCAGGAAAAAUCACGAUCAUCCAGAUCCUGAGAAAGGGAAUAAUAUGAUUCAAGCCUUCCAUGCACUGUUUGAAAAUCUUACCCCAUUCCCUACCGUUUAACAUCAAGAGUUUACUCGAAGGUGAACCAAACAACUGUGUGUAGACCACUGAGCCAAAAAGCCUGUUUAAAUAAUAGAGUCUUGUGCAAACAGCGAUCUUUUUAUUUGAGAAUAAUAAAAUGAUUUUGUCAUUUUAGAUGAUCUAACAAAUUUUCUAAGAAAUAACUGUAGCUCUUUGUUCUAAACUCUCUCGUAGGUUCAGGCAAGGGCCUGAAAACAACUUGUGGCUAGUUGUUGACCAUGGAUGUGACAAUCCUCCUUUCUUGAAAGACAGCAGCAUGACAUAAAAAGCACACGAUUUGCCUUUAAAUCUCGCCUUU
rnacentral:lncRNA from 1 species